rnacentral:rRNA from 1 species
CCUACGGGAGGCAGCAGUGAGGAAUAUUGGUCAAUGGUCGGAAGGCUGAACCAGCCAUGCCGCGUGAAGGUCAGUGCCCUAUGGGCGUUAAACUUCUUUUGUGCGGGAGCAAUAAUGGUCACGUGUGGCCAGACGAGAGUACCGUACGAAUAAGCAUCGGCUAACUCCGUGCCAGCAGCCGCGGUAAUACGGGGGAGGCAAGCGUUAUCCGGAUUUAUUGGGUUUAAAGGGUGCGUAGGCUGUGAGGUAAGUCAGCGGUGAAAUGCCCCCGCUCAACGGGGUGAAGUGCCAUUGAUACUGCCUGGCUGGAAUGCGGAUGCCGUGGGAGGAAUGUGUGGUGUAGCGGUGAAAUGCAUAGAUAUCACACAGAACACCGAUUGCGAAGGCAUCUCACGAAUCCGCGAUUGACGCUGAUGCACGAAAGCGUGGGUAUCAAACAGGAUUAGAUACCCCUGUAGUC